UGUUGAUGCUGAUAAAUCCAAAGGCUUGUUUCUAUAAAACAUUCGCAGUGGCCGCCUAAGAGUUUUUGCCUUCGCCGGGAUUGAGAGCUUGUGCUGCUUCAUUCCUCCCUUGGAUGUCUGAAACU